AAAUAUAAGUGAAUUUAUGGCACUUUUAAAAAAUAAAUCCAUAUACACCUUGUGUGCAAUGUAUGAGAAAAAAGAGAGGUUGUCAAAAGACCUCUUUUUCUCUCUCUAUAUCAUCAACUCUUUGCUUUGAACCAGUUUGUCUGAAAUAAACAUAUUCUUUGAAUAACUUAAUUCAAAAAUA
rnacentral:misc_RNA from 1 species